rnacentral:rRNA from 1 species
UGGGGAAUAUUGGACAAUGGGCGCAAGCCUGAUCCAGCCAUGCCGCGUGAGUGACGAAGGCCUUAGGGUUGUAAAGCUCUUUUGGCGGGGAAGAUAAUGACGGUACCCGCAGAAUAAGCUCCGGCUAACUUCGUGCCAGCAGCCGCGGUAAUACGAAGGGAGCUAGCGUUGUUCGGAAUCACUGGGCGUAAAGCGCACGUAGGUGGGCAGUUAAGUCAGGGGUGAAAGCCCGAGGCUCAACCUCGGAAUUGCCUCUGAUACUGGCUGUCUAGAGUUCGAGAGAGGUGAGUGGAAUUCCUAGUGUAGAGGUGAAAUUCGUAGAUAUUAGGAAGAACACCGGUGGCGAAGGCGGCUCACUGGCUCGAUACUGACACUGAGGUGCGAAAGCGUGGGGAGCAAACAGGAUUAGAUACCCAAGUAGUCCUGAGCGGGCUGGCAAGGCGCAU